rnacentral:rRNA from 1 species
GACGAACGCUGGCGGCAUGCCUAAUACAUGCAAGUCGAGCGAACAGAUGAAGUGCUUGCACUUCUGACGUUAGCGGCGAACGGGUGAGUAACACGUAAGGAAUCUACCUAUAAGCGGGGGAUAACAUUCGGAAACGGGUGCUAAUACCGCAUAAUAUCUUCUUCCGCAUGGAAGAAGAUUGAAAGACGGCUCUGCUGUCACUUAUAGAUGACCUUGCGGUGCAUUAGUUAGUUGGUGGGGUAAUGGCCUAGCAAGAGGAUGAUGCAUAGCCGACAUGCGAGGGUGAUAGGCAACAUUGGGACUGAGACACGGCCCAAACUCAUACGGGAGGCAGCAGUAGGGAAUCUUCCGCAAUGGGCGAAAGCCUGACGGAGCAAUGCCGCGUGAGUGAAGAAGGCCUUCGGGUCGUAAAACUCUGUUAUAAGAGAAGAACAAAUUGUAGAGUAACUGCUACAGUCUUGACGGUAUCUUAUCAGAAAGCCACGGCUAACUACGUGCCAGCCGCCGCGGUAA